GAGCUGCAGGAGCUGGUCUACUUAAGUCUACUGGGAGACAACAAGCUCUUCACUGUUCAUACAGUCCUGUGUCUGUCUGCUAGUCUGAGGCCAGGGCAAAGAAAGCCGCAGAGAAGGAGGCCAAAGCCAAGAAGCAGAAAGCCAACAAGGCGCCCAAAGCCCCAAAACCCACUAAAAAACCCAAAGCCACCAAGGCACCCAAGAAGCUCAAGGCCACCAAGGCACCUAAAGCCACCAAGGCACCUAAGGUCACAAAGCCCAAAGCUACCAAGGCCUCCAAGACAACAGCAUGGAAGGAGGAGGGGUGAAGCCGGUGACCAGAAGCCCCAGUCUGGAAGAGGAGGAGGAGAAACUCCUGAUUGAGCUGGGCUGGGACAGACUAGACAGCAGACCCUCGGGACACACACCUCUCUCUGCUGGCUCCAAGACCCUGACAGAGCAUGGUCAAGAUUACUGGGACACCAAGCGUAUGUCUGACAUGACUCAACAAUCUAUCACUUUCAAUCCAGUCUUCUCUGAUUUGAAGCAUGAAUUUAGCUUUGCAAAGAUCAUAAUCAUAUGUCACCAAUAAACUAUUACAACAAAAG